GCGGGACCGAGCUGUCCGCGAGCGGCGAAGCGCGGGCCCCGGGCGCGGCGGGGAGCGCGCGAGGAGACGAGCGCCCGGCGCAGGAACCAGAGGCCGCCGGGGUUCACCGGCUGCCGCCGCGAUGAGCGGCGCCUGGGUUCGGGCUCGGCCUGCCGCCCGCCGGCUUCUCCUCCAGCCCCGGAGCACGAGCCCGACCGCCCCGGAUCGCGCCGCUCUGAGACUUCGGGUCCUGCUGCUGCUGAGCUCGGCUGCGGGCUCGAACUCGCCCGGGUGAUGGCAGAAGGCGUGGAGCUGUGCAGUGCUCCAGCCCACCGUCUCUGGAUCGUUGGCGCCAGUUACUGUUCUGUGCUCGGAGACCCUGUGACCUCCUUGCGGUGGAACAGAAACUAAAAGCUCAGUACAAACUGCUUCUCCAGUGGCGCUUUCUGGGCGUGCGUCUUGGUGGCUGGCAAGGUGGAGGAGUGAAGGGCGGCGAGGCAAGAUCGGAGUAACUCUCCCCGGGAGAGAUGCGGAACGGAAUGGGUAGACCCUCGCUUCAAGUGAUGCCAGAACCUGUGCCGCGUUGCUGAGAUUUCCAACUGCGUGUUGAGGACUAAAGCUGUAAGACUCAGAAAGACUGGUGUGGGUAGUUAGGCUGUGGAUUCCUGUGUUGAGAGUAAAGGACGCAUAGAAGAACGGGAGAGUCAAAUAAGGCAGGAUUAGACAAAAGGGAGGCGAAUGGAUUGAAAAUCAAAUACAGUGGCAGCGCAAGCAUUCUGGAAAGAAGAAAAUCCCUUCUCCAGAUUAGAACAAUUUCAACUCAUAAGUAUUGUGUCAGGGAAAUGUUAGAUUUGGGGUGCCAGUCGGGUCAUACGUAAACACACAGGAAACAGCCUCUAGUUUUGAUUGUGGUCCUAACUCUCUCUGUUACCCUGGGCAGGGCAGGUAAACUUCAUAUGGCUGUUUCUUGUCUGUGAAAGGACGGACCUGUUAAUGCUUUUCAGUUCCAUCGCUCCAUGGUUCUGCUUCCCCAGUGCCCUCUGAACUUCUAACUCAUAAGAACUGUCUGGGGCGAGUCAUUAACUGAACUCAUAUCUGUGAAGACAUCAGCAAAGCGAGCAACUUCUCAUUGCUAUGGAGGCUCUGUGCGCCACACCAUGAUCUCUUAAUCCCUUCACUUUCCCCCACGGAGGUACCAUGAUACUUUGAGAAUAGUCCUCCUUUUCAUCUUGAAACACUCAUCCACCUAGGAAAGAAGGAAAAGGUCCAAGAAGCGGAGCACUGCUAUGCCUAUGGCUCAGUUAAGAGGAGGUGGUCUUGUUGAUUCUCUCCUCUGCAUUUUGUUCAUCUGACCCCUGCCCCGUGGAAGCCAGUGGAGGAGAAUGAAAUGAGGAAAAGAUUGCUGAACCCUGCUGCAGAAUACAUCUUGCCAGCUUCCAUGGUGCCAACACCACAGGUUCCCUU
ensembl:lncRNA